rnacentral:rRNA from 1 species
UACGUAGGUGGCAAGCGUUGUCCGGAUUUACUGGGCGUAAAGGGCGUGCAGGCGGUCUGUUAAGUUCAGGGUGAAAGCCCCCGGCUCAACUGGGGAGGGUCACGCGAUACUGAUCGACUCGAAGGCAGGAGAGGGAAGUGGAAUUCCCGGUGUAGUGGUGAAAUGCGUAGAUAUCGGGAGGAACACCAGUGGCGAAGGCGACUUCCUGGCCUGUUCUUGACGCUGAGGCGCGAAAGCUAGGGGAGCAAACGGG